GACGAACGCUGGCGGCGUGCUUAACACAUGCAAGUCGAACGGAGCGAAUGAAAGCUUGCUUUUAUAAGCUUAGUGGCAAACGGGUGAGUAACACGUAGGCAACCUGCCGACAGGAUGGGGACAACAUUCCGAAAGGAAUGCUAAUACCGAAUGAAGCGCAGGGGAGGCAUCUCUCCUGCGUGAAAGAUGGCCUCUAUAUAUAAGCUAUCACCUGUCGAUGGGCCUGCGUCUGAUUAGCUGGUAGGUGAGGUAACGGCUCACCUAGGCGACGAUCAGUAGCCGGUCUGAGAGGAUGAACGGCCACAUUGGGACUGAGACACGGCCCAGACUCCUACGGGAGGCAGCAGUGGGGAAUCCUCCGCAAUGGGCGCAAGCCUGACGGAGCAACGCCGCGUGAGUGAAGAAGGUCUUCGGAUCGUAAAGCUCUGUUGAUGGGGACGAACGUGCCUAAUGCGAAUAGUAUUAGGUAAUG
rnacentral:rRNA from 1 species